CACUCGUGUAAGGUAAUCGCGCGACAUUGUCGUGAGGAAAGUCCGGGCACGUACUUCAUUUAUGAAGUUAAAAUGGUAGCGGGUAACACCCGUCGAGAGCAAUCUUAGGGAUGCGAGCAGUGACGUCGAAGCAGAGAUGCUAAGAAUUCCUUUUGGAAUAAUCUUACGGUAACGUAAGAAUGAAACGGCAAAAUUCCUACCUACGUGCAAGGCCGUACUAAACUUCUUUGAAGUUUUGGGUGCCGCAAGAGAUAGUUGGUAACAAUUAUCCUAGAUAAAUGAUUGCACAGUAUGUACUGACAAAUACAUACGGACAGAACCCGGCUUAUAUGCACGAGUAGUCA
rnacentral:RNase_P_RNA from 1 species